CGUCUUCCUGCUCUCACUUCCUGGCUUUAUACUCUUAUCCCAGCUGCUCCUCCAGCCGGCCUUCAUCUGCCAUUAGUGCUCAUCAAUCCCUGGCUUCCCUCCAGGUGCAGCAUUAAGCGAGUCCAUUGGAAAACUCAUCUCCAAAAUCACCGAUCCCAGCACAGGCGUGGGGGAGAGUUUACCGAAGAAACAAGAACAAAUGAAUGAGGUCAAGAACAAGCAAGGGCACUGAUUAGAAAGUACCAGAUUCAAGAUGUGUUUGGAUCCUGUAAACUUCAGUCCAAGAAUUCCAUUAUGCCACAUGAUGGACAACAGUUUCCCUAGAGUUCACCUAGUAAAGGAGUUCUAGGCUCUGGAAGUGCCUAAAGCAUACCUAAGAAAGAAAAGGCUAUUCUACAUGCUAUUUAUCAUCUCUACAUUACCAAAGAAGGUAGUGAAGACACAGCAGUUAUAAAUUACCCCCUAAAACC